AUGAACGCUGGCGGCGUGCCUCAUCCCUGCAAGUCGAGCGAACGGACGAGAAGCUUGCUUCUCUGAUGUUAGCGGCGGACGGGUGAGUAACACGUGGAUAACCUACCUAUAAGACUGGGAUAACUUCGGGAAACCGGAGCUAAUACCGGAUGAUAUUUUGAACCGCAUGGUUCAAAAGUGAAAGACGGUCUUGCUGUCACUUAUAGAUGGAUCCGCGCUGCAUUAGCUAGUUGGUAAGGUAACGGCUUACCAAGGCAACGAUGCAUAGCCGACCUGAGAGGGUGAUCGGCCACACUGGAACUGAGACACGGUCCAGACUCCUACGGGAGGCAGCAGUAGGGAAUCUUCCGCAAUGGGCGAAAGCCUGACGGAGCAACGCCGCGUGAGUGAUGAAGGUCUUCGGAUCGUAAAACUCUGUUAUUAGGGAAGAACAUAUGUGUAAGUAACUGUGCACAUCUUGACGGUACCUAAUCAGAAAGCCACGGCUAACUACGUG
rnacentral:rRNA from 1 species